GGCGGGCGGGCGGGCGCACGAGUCUUCGCCGCGGUCGCUCUAACGCUCCAGCCCCCCCGGAGGACGCGCUCGACUGUUCCUGCGGCCGCUCGUCCGCGCUCAGGGUUCUCCUUGGUGCGGAGCAUUCUUCCCAGUGCGGAGCAUCGUCCUUCUGGGCGCCCGAGCAUCCUGCUCAGAGCUCAGCAUCCUCUUCCCUGUGCAUCCUCCCUUAGUGCAUGCUCGGCAUCUUCCUCAGAGCUCAGCGUCCUCCUUUCGUUCCUCAGUGGCACCCGGGGCCCGGUCCCCACCCGCUCGCACCCCACCCCGCGGGAAGGAGGCCUCGGGAAUGCAGGGGAGUGGCUGUGGGGGCGCGUCGCCGCUCGGCCAGCCCCUCUACCCAAACACGGGCUGCUCCCCAUUGUAGAAGCUGCACCGUGUGACAGACAGGAGGACAGCGUGCAGCUCCCGGCACGGGGCUGCUGCGGGGAUCACAGCGUGCUCAAGCCCUGGCAUCCUCUUAGGGUGGGGCGGGGAGGGCCCUGGCUUUUGGAGAGUGGACCCAGAGGAGGACCAGAGCACGGAAAGGACUCUGUAAGGGGACUCGUGAGAGACUAUGGGGAAGGACCAGGAGCUGCUGGAAGCUGCUCGCACUGGCAAUGUGGCUCUGGUGGAGAAACUCCUAUCUGGCAGGAAAGGAGGGAUCCUGGGUGGUGGAUCCGGACCUCUGCCCCUGUCUAAUCUGCUAAGCAUCUGGCGAGGUCCCAAUGUGAACUGCACGGACAGUUCGGGUUACACCGCUUUACACCACGCAGCCUUAAAUGGACAUAAGGACAUAGUUCUCAAGCUCCUUCAGUAUGAGGCAUCGACAAACGUAGCAGACAACAAAGGCUACUUCCCCAUCCACCUGGCUGCCUGGAGAGGAGACGUGGAGAUUGUGAAGAUCCUCAUCCAUCACGGACCUUCCCAUUCCAGAGUCAAUGAACAGAACAAUGAGAAUGAAACCGCCCUGCACUGUGCCGCUCAAUACGGACACUCGGAAGUCGUUGCUGUUCUCCUGGAAGAGCUCACGGACCCCACGAUUAGGAACAGCAAGCUCGAGACCCCGUUGGACUUGGCGGCCCUCUACGGACGGCUGAGAGUGGUGAAGAUGAUCAUAACCGCACACCCAAACCUGAUGAGCUGUAACACCCGGAAGCACACGCCGCUUCACCUCGCCGCCCGCAAUGGUCACAAGGCAGUGGUCCAGGUGCUGCUGGAGGCAGGAAUGGAUGUGAGCUGUCAAACAGAAAAGGGGAGUGCUCUCCACGAAGCGGCUUUGUUUGGGAAGGUGGACGUGGUGCGAGUCCUGUUAGAAACAGGAAUUGAUGCCAACAUCAAGGACAGUUUAGGUAGAACUGUCUUAGACAUUCUGAAAGAGCAUCCGUCCCAGAAAUCUCUCCAGAUUGCAACGCUCUUGCAAGACUAUUUAGAAGGCGUGGGAAGGUCAGCCGUCCUGGGAGAGCAUGCUCAGGAAGACACACCGCAAGAGACACACCUUUCAUCUCCCGCCGAGUCUCCUUCCCAAAAGAGUAAAAGCGAAACUGUCACCGGGGAACUAUCAAAACUCCUGGAUGAAAUAAAACUCUGCCAGGAGAAGGAUUAUUCCUUCGAAGAUUUGUGCCAUACGAUUUCAGACCACUACCUAGAUAAUUUGAGCAAGAUUUCAGAGGAAGAACUUGGGAAAAAUGGGAGCCAGAGUGUAAGAACUUCAUCUACAAUAAAUUUGUCACCAGGAGAAGUGGAAGAAGAGGAGGAGGAUCCAAACACUUGUGGGCCCACAGGACUUUGGGAAGCACUAACUCCUUGUAACGGAUGUAGGAACCUUGGCUUUCCCAUGCUUGCACAGGAGUCUUAUCCAAAGAAGAGGAAUCACACCAUGGAAAUUGUGCCAUCGGCCUCUCUGGAGACAUUUCCUUCGGAAAAUGAGAACUUUCUCUGUGAUCUCAUGGACACAGCCGUUACAAAGAAACCCUGCUCCCUAGAAAUUGCAAGGGCACCUUCUCCGAGAACUGAUAAUGCCUCUGAGGUAGCAAUUACUGCUCCAGGAGCUGGUCACCACAGAAGCAGCUCUACAGGCCCAACACCUGACUGCUCACCUCCAUCCCCCGACACCGCCCUGAAAAACAUCGUAAAAGUUAUCCGACCACAGCCAAAACAACGAACAUCUAUUGUGUCUUCUCUGGAUUUCCAGCGAAUGAAUCAUAACCAAGAAUACUUUGAAAUCAGCACGUCUACAGGGUGCGCCAGCUUUCCUUCCAGUCCUCCAGUUAGUCCGCCCACCUCUUCCGUGGGAACCACAGAAGUCAAGAAUGAGGGAGCUGAGCACACAGAUGAUUUCUCUCAACGGGAAGACGACGAUCCACCAAAAGAAUAUGAUGCGGGGCAGUUCGCAGGCCUUCUCCACGGAUCCUCUCCAGCCUGUGAGUCCCCUGAAAACCCUUUCCAACUGUAUGGGAAAAGAAAUCCAUGCGAAGAUGGACAAGAUGAAGCCAGUUUGGCAAGCAGCCCUCUGCCUUUCAAACCAACUGCAGUAGAAAAUAAGUCAGAGACGGUGGUAAAGAAGAUUAAACCCAAAGUGGUCAGUAGAACAAUUUUCCACAAAAGAAGCCACCAACUGGAGAACCAUACCAUCGUUGGAACAAGAACAUCUCGGAGCGGAUCCCGCAGCGGUGACCAGUGGGGUGCAAGUACAGGGGGCUUUGUGGAGAGAGCGUGUACUCUGGGGAGAAUACGGUCGCUGCCUAAAGCCCUGAUCGACAUGCACUUAUCCAAAAAUGUCUCUAAGUCCGACUCUGAUCUUAUCGCCUACCCUUCCAAGGACAAAGCGAGGGUUAACUGGAGCGAGUCGUCCACGGCUGAACGCAGUUCUAAAGAUAAUUCCGAAAGGACGCCUUCAUUCACGUCCGAAUGGGAAGAAAUUGACAAAAUAAUGAAUUCUAUUGAUGUUGGGAUCACAACGGUCAACAGUGAACUUGAAGAGAUGAAUGGACCCAGAUGCCCCGUCCAAACAGUGGGACAAUGGUUGGAAAGCAUUGGGCUACCUCAGUACGAGAACCACCUGAUGGCUAAUGGAUUUGACAAUGUACAGUUUAUGGGAAGCAAUGUUAUGGAAGAUCAGGAUUUGUUGGAAAUUGGUAUCCUUAAUUCUGGACACAGACAGAGAAUCCUACAGGCGAUCCAGCUCCUUCCAAAGAUGAGACCCAUUGGUCAUGAUGGCUACCAUCCCACCUCUGUCGCUGAGUGGCUGGAUUCCAUUGAGCUGGGGGACUACACCAAAGCCUUUCUCAUCAAUGGAUACACGUCGAUGGACCUGUUGAAAAAAAUCUGGGAGGUUGAACUCAUCAAUGUUUUAAAGAUCAGUUUGAUUGGCCACAGGAAACGCAUUUUGGCAUCUCUGGGAGACAGACUGCAUGAGGAGCCUCCACAGAAGCCCCCUCGAUCCAUCACGCUCAGGGAAGCCAGUGGUAACCACACUCCUCCUCAGUUGUCUCCAUCACUUAGCCAAAGCACUUACACUACUGGUGGCUCCCUAGACGUCCCUCACAUUAUCAUGCAGGGCGAUGCAAGGCGGAGAAGAAACGAAAACUACUUCGAUGAUAUCCCCCGGUCAAAGCUGGAGAGGCAGAUGGCUCAGCAGUCGUCUGUCUGUGAAAUAUGGACGAAUCAGAACGCUGGAUUUCCUUUCUCAGCGAUCCAUCAGGUCCAUAAUACAGGGGACUGGGGAGAACCUUCCAUCACCUUACGACCUCCAAAUGAAGCCACAGCCUCAACUCCGGUCCAGUACUGGCAGCAUCAUCCAGAAAAGCUCAUCUUCCAGUCAUGUGACUACAAAGCUUUUUAUUUAGGUUCUAUGCUGAUAAAAGAGCUUAGGGGGACAGAGUCGACCCAAGACGCCUGUGCAAAGAUGCGGGCCAACUGUCAGAAGUCUACAGAGCAAAUGAAGAAAGUCCCCACUAUUAUUCUUUCAGUCUCAUAUAAAGGAGUCAAGUUUAUUGAUGCAACAAAUAAGAACAUAAUUGCUGAGCAUGAAAUUCGUAAUAUCUCCUGCGCCGCCCAGGACCCAGAAGACCUCUCAACGUUCGCUUAUAUCACGAAAGAUUUGAAGUCCAACCACCACUACUGCCACGUGUUUACUGCCUUCGAUGUGAAUUUAGCCUAUGAAAUCAUCCUAACCCUGGGACAGGCAUUUGAGGUCGCUUACCAGCUAGCCCUACAAGCGAGAAAGGGGGGACAUUCUUCCACGCUUCCGGAAAGCUUUGAAAACAAGCCCUCCAAACCCAUCCCCAAGCCCCGCGUUAGCAUCCGCAAGUCAGUGGCUCUGCAGACUUCCUGUCCCAACAGGCUGGUAUGACUACAAAGCGGCCGCCUCUGGUAGUAGCAACACCCCAGAGCUGGAAGGCGCCCAACCAGCUUCCCAUCUGCUUUCUGCUCCAGCUACCUACCAUCCUGCAUCCUAGAGUCUCUGGGAUUGGCACCGGGCAGGCCCCCAGAAUGCAUUGCCCCCCUCACCCUGCAAUCUUUCCAUCUGCCAAAUUCUCCUCCCAGCAGCCCUCAGCCUCCAUGUCAUGCGGAAAUAGACAUUUUUAACCUCCCAAAAGAGGUUCCUUCCUUUGGUGACGAUGUGGCUACUGGUUCUGGGGCCCCUCCCUCUCCUGUCUUGGGUAACUUCUGCACCCGCGGGGAUGACCCCUCAGCUGACUGGUCAUCACCAAGGGCUGUCCCUCUCAGAUCCCACACUGCACUGCUACCCCUGACCUUCCUGCCUCAGCACCACCCCAGCCCAUGCUCCCAGCGCCCUCUCUCUCCUCUCUCCAGUCCCGCCAAACCCCAAACUGGGACGCGCCUGCUCAGUCCAUUUUUAAGCAUCUCCACCGAAAUCAACAUAAAUCCUUGCUUCUCUCCUCCCUCUGCUGGGCCCCGUAAAUGGCACAACCCUCCAUCACGCUGCUCGCAUCCAAACCCACAAGUCCCCUUGACUACUGCUGCAUCCACACCUCUCCAUCCAACCCGUGAGCAGGGGCCAUUCUCUGUUCCCCUGGAGUGCACCUUCAGCCUGCCCACUCCUCUCCAUUUCCUCCUUCAACCCCGCCCCUCCAAUCCAAGCCCUUCCUGGUUUCUCCCUUUCUCCACACAGCAGAGACCCUGGCACCCAGGAAAUACCACACUCCGCCCCGUUCCUUGACUAUCCACUUCUCAGUGUCGCUUAAGUCUCUCCCUACAGCAGGAAGGCUCUCUUCCACCUCCCCUAGCCCCCGCCCCCAUCCCUGCCCUGCAUGGCCCCCUCCACGGGACCCUAAGAGUCACAGUUGCAUGAAGACGCUUUUCCUGCCUGAAAUAGAUGCCUGGUCACACUCUAGCCCCCUUUCCUUCUCUGUAGUAUUUACUGCGUUUGUUUUCUUGCCACUUAUCUCUGCCUCUCUACUUCAUGACAUACACUGACAUGCUGUGACCCCGGGGGCCAGGGCCUUAGCAUCCACUUAACACACAUCUGUUCUUAAAGAAGUGAGAUCCUGCCGGUGGAUUUAACAAAUGUGUCUCUGAGUCUGACUAGGCUUCUGGGUGUCCAGGAACGCACAGCAUGCUUGGGGGAUUGUCACUUAGGCUACUAUAUUCCUUCUCGUGUGGGCUGGGUAAGUCUGUUCACCGGGGUCCGCGUAGACUUCUUCCAGAUGCACACAGAGCUUCUCGCCGUAAGGGCUCAUAGAAUAUUCAUCUAGCUGCCCUCUCUGGGAACCGGGAAAAUACACAGUGAAUACGGCUAAUGGCUUUACCUGGCUCUGGUUCCAGUCCCUCACCAGGCUUCAGUAUUCCCACUUCCUCAGCUCUGGCUGUUUACUGUUAGGAAAUAGUGCUCCCAAGACUGGGAAGUCCUUCCCUGCGGCUAAGGAGACACAGCAGAAACGCAGAAGAAGGCAGCCCGACAGGUGCAUAGGCACAGACAAACCCUGCAGCCUCCAGCAGGCUGAAGAGCUGGUAGAGGAAGGCUGAGCAUGCCUUCCAGAAAUCCCUUGGCCCAAUUUACAGAGCAAAGUCCAUGCCCAGAGGAUGAGAGACGUUAGGGAACCAGCUUAACUGCGGCCUGUCAGAGCUCAGACCUUAGCUACUGCCCUGGGAAUGGCCUGCUUGGCCAUUGUAAAAGACAAGGACAGUUGAGGUCAAGGCCCAACCUCACACUCCAUCUCCCCCAGGGAUCUGUGCCUGCCUUCUGUCUACCCCAGUACCUCCUCCUAUCCUGGCAGCCCACUCAUUGUCUUAAAACUAUUUAUUGACCGUACAAAUAUUUACUCUAUGCCUGCUUCACACUGGGCUGCCAGGAGCUUUGCCAGGUUUGGAGAACACAGUAAUCAAGGGAACAUAAAACCCCACCUUGGUGGGCAGCCACUGUAGAGAGGGAGUAGGACAGGAAGCCGGCUGGCAUAUGUAUCAGUAAGAGAGCAGAAGGGGGAAGCAGAAAAGUCAUUUUGUAAAGGUGCCAUUUUGUAAAGGGUGUGGCAGGUACGGCUUCUAGGAGAUGUCCGAGUCAAGACCUGGACCAUCCUGGCUAAGAGCCAACGGAGAGAAGAGAGGCCUUGCGCGAGGAUGGGUGCUUGAGGUCCAGCAGCAGGGAGAGGAGAGGCUAUGCGCACUGAUGGGUGUCUGAGGUCCAGCAGAGGGGAGAGGAAAGGCCUUGUGCGAUGAUGGGUGGCCAAGGUCCAGCUUCAGAUGGACCCUUCUGAGCAAAAGACUCUGGCCAAUCUGCCGUGGAUUGUGGAGCCGGGGCAAGAAGCCAAGAGGGCCAUUAAUACCAAGUAUGAAACCACGAUUUUCUGAUACUCGCCGCCCCGUCCUCGCGGUGCCUUGCUCGCCAAGCAGUCCCCGCAGCAGGCUUUCCUUCGCGCCUCCGUGUCCACCCGCCCGGGAGGAAGACUGCUCAGCUCGCGUGGCCUCGUCACGGGCGGAAAGGCCGCCGGCCAUCCCUAGGGAGCUUUCUGCCAGCGAGACUUUGUCGCCCCUAGAGGCGCGGGGCUUGGGGGGGCUGCGCGGGGCACCCCAACUCCGCUACCACCGCCUCCGAGGUACUGUUCGACUGCCCCGUACUUGCUUUGCUUUAGUUGGGGAGAAAAUCUUUUUAAAAGUGAUGGAGGGGGUCUCCAGUACUGCCUAAAAGUCUACAAACAUCUUGGGGUUUAAGUUUUCACCGUCAGCCGUUUUGAAGGGAAAGUCAGGACAGUACUAGCGCCCCCCCCAAAAGCAUCUGUAAAAUCAUUGUUAUCACCGAGUGCAGUCUCAUGCAAAAAGACAAAGCAACCCUCACGAUUGCCAGGAAAUUCCGUCUCCCGAUUUCUAUAUUUGUGGAUUUUAUAUGUAAUCGACUAUGUCAGAUAAAGGAAACCUUUAUUGAAUGAUUCAAAAAUUUAAAAGUGAUUUAAAACAGAGGAAUUUAUUAUGCACAGAAAAAAAUGUGUCUUGUAUUAAAUAUUUUUAUUAAAAGAAUGUUUCAUUAAUGCAUUCAUAAGAACAUUGCGCUUGCUGUGCGGGAUGUUUCUGGUUUCAAGUGACUCCAUCUCUACUGCACAAGGAUCGGCUCAGUUGUGACAACCUCUGACACCGUCCCAAAGGCAGGAGAUCGGGCUCGCGCCCACUCGGGGUGACCCAAAGUGCUGACGCAGCCAUAGCCCGCACGAGUGGUUUUUAGAAAUUUUUUUUUUAACCUUCGAAGUGUUUUAAAGAACAUGUUUAACAAAAAUAAAUAUAUAAUCUAGGGCUCCUGCUGUCAAGAUUUCUGUCAUGGAAACCUUGUUUGAGAAUGGUGUUAAUAAAAUUCUAUUGCAAUUUUUUUUCUAGAAAAAAAUAAAUAACACAAAAAAAGAAGAAAUUCCAAAGUAAUAAAGACUUUUCUUGAAAAAGAUUAAAAAAUGUUUGCUUACUAUUUGAUUAAAUAAAUUUACUUACGUUUCUUUAAGGCAUUUUAAUUUUUUUAAUGUCUCUGUGGAGUAUUUGUAUGAUAUCAUAAUGUAUAUUUCUGUAGAAUCAAAUUAUAUAAACAGUACCAAUAUCAUUAUAGAAAAAUAACAUUUUAAUGUAUAUUGUUCUAACUGAUCAUAUUGUGACUCAUUUUGAAGUUCAUUAUAGCGAUAUUGAUAAAUUGUGAACUUGUCUUAAUGUUUUUUUAUUAACCAAUAUUAUUUUAAACCUGAGAUUAUCACAUUCAUCAGUUGAUGAGUUUUGAAAAAAAAAACUAACUAAAUUUCAUUUCCACUGACAAAUGUAUAUGGUUUUAGUUCAGUGUCAGAGAAUUUUAAUACAAUAUUAAAUUACUUGAACUGAA